GUUUGGACAAGACGAGGAGGCGCACUCAGAGUCAGAGACCCCGGGGCAGAGACAGGGGCAAGAAGAAGGGGCCACCGAGACCCCAAGAGAGUCAGGGAGACAGACGCACCAAACGACCGACACAACCAGGGACAGGGAGGAAAAGUUGCCUAUCUGUUGGGUCAGAUUUCUGAAGACUGAUGAGGCCCAUUUUCUGGCUGGAGUGAAAUGACAUGAUCUCAGCUCACUGAAACUUCUGCCUCCCAGGUUCAAGCAAUUCUCCUGCCUCAGCCUCGCGAGUAGCUGGGAUUACAGAUAUCCUUCGAGUUGGAUUUCGACUGGGUUCUGCCAGUGGGAUGUAUCCAUGCGAGAUUCUGGAACUAACAUCAGAGAGAGUCCAAGCUUCUAACUUUUAUCAGCGGCAGUGACAAUAGUCAAGCAGCAUUGAUGACAAACGGCAAGAGUUUAGAAAGUACCAGUGACGUGCCUGAUAGAAUCUCACCACAAGAUGGAAGCCAACUCGUCAGAAGCCUGGAAAGCCCACCCAGCGUGGGACCUCUGUGGGUCCAGGAUCUUGGAAUGGUAUCCCAUGGUUCAAUCUUCUGGAUUCAACCACAUAAAUUUACCCCACCCAUGUCGUGGACCCAAGCUUCCUACCAUGUAUACUUAGCUUAAAUGCAAGAUAGUACUAUUUUGUUCAUCUUGAUUGGAGUGAGAAAUGAAUAGGUCCAUGCACAUAUAUUUCUUUUACCACAACAAGAUGAUGAAGAAAUAAAUCCAUAAUAUCGAUACUUUUGUAUAAGUUGUGUUUACAGUUGCGGUAAGAAAUUUUAUAAUUGUUGAUUUGCUUUAUAUAAUUUCUGCUUGCUUUUUAUGAUAUUUAAAACAAAAUCUAAGCAACAAAUUUUAUGUCUGAUUAGAUUUACAGAAGCUGCUUAAGUGCUUAGGGAUAAUUUGUUCAUCAUAUUUGUAAGUCUCCCUUGUUAGGUGUUUGAAGUGUUUGAAUUGGCUAAAUUAAAUUUGUAAUUGUAGUUUGAAAUAUCUAAAGGAAUUUUCUUAAUUAAGUGUUUAAAUGAUGUUAAAAGUUUGUGGGAAUUUAAUCUAUCAAAUUUAUGAGUUAAUUGAAUAUGAAUCAAUGAACAAGUAAAUGUGAUCUUGCUUUUAUAUAAAAACUA
rnacentral:lncRNA from 1 species